CUCAGAUCCGGGGGCUGCGGAUAAAUCCCCGUAGGCCGCGGGCAGCGAGAUGUUGCGUUCCGGUGUGGGUGUGGGUGUGCCUCCGACGGCGUCUCGGUGCCAGUGUCGAGGUUCUUUCUGCUUAGCUACCCGGAGCCGACUACGGAGGAGGACACCUGAGUUUACGUCUCUUCCAUCUGCUGCUCACCUCAGCUGCCUGGGUCCCCGACGAGAGCCAGGUGACACUUAACUCCGCCAUCUGCGUUUUGAGCACUGUUCUCAUAAUGGAGUUUCCUGAUUUGGGGAAGCAUUGUUCAGAAAAGACUUGCAAGCAGCUAGAUUUUCUUCCAGUAAAAUGUGAUGCAUGUAAACAAGAUUUCUGUAAAGAUCAUUUUCCAUACGCUGCACAUAAGUGUCCGUUUGCAUUCCAGAAGGAUGUUCACGUCCCAGUAUGCCCACUCUGUAAUACCCCCAUCCCAGUAAAAAAGGGCCAGAUACCAGACGUGGUGGUUGGUGAUCACAUUGACAGAGACUGUGACUCUCACCCUGGGAAGAAGAAAGAGAAGCACAGACACCCUUUGGACCACAGCUGCAGACACGGGAGUCGCCCCACCAUCAAAGCUGGGUGAGAAGAGACUCCGCUGCGAUGGCUCGGAGCACGCAGUAGCAUGCGUGGAAGCAGCUUACACUCUAGUGGGAAGUGGAGCCCCAUUGAGCACCAUCCCACACUGGCUGCUGAUCUUGUUUGUUGAGGGAGAUGGGACUAUAAUAAAAUUGAAUGCUGAAG
rnacentral:lncRNA from 1 species